AUUGAACGCUGGCGGCAGGCCUAACACAUGCAAGUCGAACGAGUGGCGCACGGGUGAGUAAAGUCUGGCAAACUGCCUGAUGGAGGGGGAUAACUACUGGAAACGGUAGCUAAUACCGCAUACCAUCAGAUGUGCCCAGAUGGGAUUAGCUAGUUGGUGGGGUAACGGCUCACCAAGGCGACGAUCCCUAGCUGGUCUGAGAGGAUGACCAGCCACACUGGAACUGAGACACGGUCCAGACUCCUACGGGAGGCAGCAGUGGGGAAUAUUGCACAAUGGGCGCAAGCCUGAUGCAGCCACGCCGCGUGUCUGAAGAACGCCUUCGGGUUCUAAAGUACUUUCAGCGGGCAGGCGUUACCCGCAGAAGCAGCACCGGCUAACUCCGUGCCAGCAGCCGCGGUAAUUC
rnacentral:rRNA from 1 species